rnacentral:lncRNA from 12 species
GUGAAAUGCAGAUAGGUUCAGCCCACAGUAGCUCUAUUAGAGGUCUGAAUGGGGUAUGGCCAGGGAGAAGUGCAGAACAGAAGCAGGAGCUCUGGCACACGCUGACACCUCGCACUGCCCAGUAAUGGCAUUUCUCUUCCUCCCAUAUCCGCAGCGCCAUCGCCAGCUGGGGAGGAGAAACAAACUUGGCUGUACUGGGGGGAGAGACAGGAUGCAGCCAGACAAGUUGGAUCACAUCCGAGAAUCCCUGGAGGAAAUCAUCCACGUGCACUGCCCACACCCACCUCUGGCUCCCAGGCACCAUCACGGGCUCUGCCCUUUGGUGACUGCAGAAGAAUCUUGCUGCUCUCAAUGUAGGCUGCCUGGACUUGGAGUUGGUUGUUGUGUUGGACAUUGUGCUCAUCCUCACCGAAUCAGGGAGACUUUCUCCUCUAAGGUGGUGAGUAAACCACAGUUAAACAGUUAAUAGUUUAACUUGGUAUUCCAGAGGGCAUACAAGGAAAACAUGAAAUAAAACAGCCUGAAAAAAUAUUGACAAAAUAUUGAACAUGGAACAUUGCAUAUGGAACAUUGCAUAUUGAACAUUGAAUAUUGAACACAAAUAGGUAUGGUUUUGCUGUGCAUGCUCUCUGGGUCCCUGUGCUGAAAGCCACAGCACACUGCUGCAUUUCCUGAGAGCUCAUUGUGCUUGCUCCAAGGCUGCACAUGAAGAGACAGGAGCAAACCUUGUGUUUGUGGCCAGGGGUUGUUUGGGUGGUCACUCAGAGGUGCCUGAAGGGGUCUGACUCUCUGGAGACACACUAGAAAAUGCCGUGUCCUGUAGGUACCUGAAUCACUCAUCGCUCCAGACUGCUCCAGCAGCGCUGGGUUUCCUUUGUGCUGCUGGGCACUGGAAGCCACUCACUGAGCUUUUGUCUCUCUCUUUUCCCUUUCAGAGUUCCCUGUGGCCGAGCCCCGCUGCAGGAGAUGCCCUGAGUUCAGGAGCAGCUCCAGAAGGAUGCCCUGGGUUAGGAGCAGUUCAGAAGGAUGCCCUGGGUUAGGACCCCCCCCCCCCCCCCCCCCCCCCCCCCCCCCCCCCCCCCCCCCCCCCCCCCCCCCCC